rnacentral:rRNA from 1 species
AGUGAACGCUGGCGGUAGGCCUAACGCAUGCAAGUCGAACGGCAGCACAGUAAGAGCUUGCUCUUACGGGUGGCGAGUGGCGGACGGGUGAGGAAUACAUCGGAAUCUACUUUUUCGUGGGGGAUAACGUAGGGAAACUUACGCUAAUACCGCAUACGACCUACGGGUGAAAGCAGGGGAUCUUCGGACCUUGCGCGAUUGAAUGAGCCGAUGUCGGAUUAGCUAGUUGGCGGGGUAAAGGCCCACCAAGGCGACGAUCCGUAGCUGGUCUGAGAGGAUGGUCAGCCACACUGGAACUGAGACACGGUCCAGACGCCUACGGGAGGCAGCAGUGGGGAAUAUUGGACAAUGGGCGCAAGCCUGAUCCAGCCAUACCGCGUGGGUGAAGAAGGCCUUCGGGUUGUAAAGCCCUUUUGUUGGGAAAGAAAAGCAGCAGGUUAAUACCCCGCUGUUCUGACGGUACCCAAAGAAUAAGCACCGGCUAACUUCGUG